rnacentral:lncRNA from 1 species
AAACAAUUGAUCGGCCCAACUGUUGGAAAUUACAGGCCGGGGGUUGAUCUUGGCAUGAUCUUGAGCAAACUAAAGCUUCCUUUUGAUAGAUCCCGUGGAUCGACAAGGCUAGAUGUGUUCGGUUAGAGUAGUGGUACGUUACCUUAUCCCGUACUCGAUGAGCUCCCUCCGGUCUUCCAUGGUGAGGUGGGGACGACGGUGGGGAAGGAGAGGGAGAUCCGGUGGCGGCGGUGGUGGACUUCCCUCCGCUUCAGUGCAUCCCUCUAGAUCGGAUUAGGGUUGAAGAAUGGGGAACCAGUGGCGGCGACGGACCUCGUUACUUGUGCCACGGUCCCCACCUCCUCUUUGAAGCACUGCGCGACAGGGGCCCACCAGCCUUACUUGGGCUGGACGCCCCCGAUCAGGGCGUGAGUCAAGGUCCAAUGGGCCGUUGGGCCCAUUGGGGAAAGAGAUCAACCUAACAUUCUCCCCCUUGAUCUCAUCAUAUACUUUUAACUUUACCCGUUUCGUAACAAAUCAAUACAUAGGGCAUGUUUCAUCGUCACGGCUCAAUUGCCGAUGGAAUCAGACAACCACAAUGUACCUCUCUAUUUCGAGACAGAUUCUUUAACCCUGGGCCCUUUAUUGUCCGGAAAUUUUAGACUAUACCAUAAAACCCAUGUCGACUGUGUGUUCUCCGAACGCACUAGGCGGUAAGCCUUUGAUAAGCAGAUCUGCAAACACUUGUUUGUUGCUUUUAUGCUUCAAGCAUUUUUCCAUAAUUCCGGACUUUCUCCUUCACAACACGUAACUCUUUGUGAGUGUGUUUGGCAUCAACACUUGACUCUUUGUGACAGGAGCGAAAGAACUUAAAAUGGUAAUCGUCGUUGUCAACCAUUAUCCACUCCGGGUACAGGUAGCCUUAACCACGUUGUCCGUCCCUCAGCCUCAUAUCAAGCUAUAACAUAUCAUUGCAUCACAUUGAUGACAAUCGUUUUACUCAUUUGGAGAUUUUCCACACAAAACUCCGAGUAUGAAAGUUAGCGACAAUUGUGGAUUUCGCUAUACAUUUCACAAGUCUUGCCUUUGUACUCACAAUCUUUUGAGAGCACUUAUUUCUUUUAGCAUGAGGCCGAUAUCUUUGAAUCCAUUCCAUUGAUUUAUCUAUGGACUGGACAUUGCCAAAACAACCCGGAUAUAUACGUGAACUGUGUCAGGGUAAUAUCUUGAGCUUCCAACAACUGAAGCAUAUGGUACCAUAUCCGUUAGCAAUCUUUUCUUAUUAACUUUUGGAACACCAUAGUUUCCACUUCCAUUACCCUUGACUAUAAGAACAGGCGUAGGUUUUCUCGUAUGCAUGCUUUAGAGAUCUUUGUUAGCAUGUCCAUGCGACAUUUCUAAUACCCCUUUUAUUCUUUUGAACUUUGAGGACAAGAACUUCUUUUCUCCUCCUGAAGUAGAUUGACAUCACCACUAGCAAGUAGGACAUCAUCCACAUGCAUAGGAAUUGGGAAACGAAUUUCCCAUUCUAUAACUUUGCAAGAAUGCAAUUGUCCUCUCAUUUUCUUUGCACAAAAUCUUUCGAUUAAAGUCAUGUUUUAUACAUUUACAUAUUUCCUUUGGAGUCAUAUUUUCCUUGUAGACCCUUCAUAAAGUCUAUGUUAGUGAAAUUCAAAUGAUGGAAUUCCACUAACAUAGACUUUAUAGUAGUCACAAGUCUGAUUUUCACAUGCCUAGAGACCAUCAAAAUCUCAGGUACUGGCACUUAUUCCAUAUGGGGUUGUCGUUGCUCUGUCAUUGCCAAGAGGCAAAUUCAUUCUAUAGUCACCCAUUUCCAAAAGGCAAUAGGUUUUGCAGGGACCUGUAUCACAAGAUCCCUUGUAGAGCUAACAACAGGUGUUGUAUAGGUCAUACAACAUGCUCCCCCAGAUUACUCCAUCUUCACUGAAGAAAUGGCGUAUCUUUAAACUUUCUUCUUUAUGGCACUUUAAGCACCACCGUUGUAUUCCUUAGUCUGCAUUCGGAACUAUAAAGAUCCGAAAAUACAAUUGUUUCUUUUCUUUAGGGGUAUCAUAAUGACGGUAUUCAAAUGACUGUCGUACUCCCCUUGACAAUCACAUUCUUCAUUAAUGCAUCACUUUAGAUGCAUAAUGUGCAUUACAUCAUCUAAAGUACAGAGGAGUCAUGAAACACAUUACAAUGUAUUUCAUGUCUCUUUCUCCCCCUCGAAAUGUGGCAAGAACUUUUCUGCCACAAUUUCGAAACCCAUUCAUAGCUCUUGUGAAAUAAGGAAACUUCGAUUAUCUAGCUCAUUCAUCUUAUCACUUCAUGUAAAAUGAAGUUAUAAGUUAACUAGUAUGGGAGUACUUUUUCCUCAUUUCAUUUCAGAAACUCAACAGAGUUCUUUAUCAUUGCCUCUUUUGCAAGUCACACUUGCAUAUCAUUCUUGUCUUUAGGUUCGUCUGUUACUUUUAUCUUUCUGGAUUUAGUGAUUGCAUAAUGACCGUUACACAUAAGGUGUACGGUCGAUGAUAGGAAAGCUUAAUAGCUACUCCAUACUUUUCUUCCAUAGUGGGACACAUUAACCACACAUGAGUCAUCAUAACUUUCUCCUGUCAUACAGGAUAAGACCUUUGCCAAAAUUUCUCCCGCCAUACAUGGAUUGUUGACAUAAUACAAUGUCAACUUUACCCGGUUACGCAGGCAUUCUUUCCAGACUUUUCCCGCCAUGCGGGUAAUUCCCUUUAAGGGACAUCAUAAAUGCCAUAAUUGGCUCUUUUGACUACAUCAAAUUCAGAAAUAAAUCUGAAUUAUCUUUGACACACAUGUUUGAUCCGACGUUGGUCAAAUUAAACAUGCAUGUUGCUUGUUUCAUUUCAAUCAUGUUGACUGAAAAAGGGAGACUCCAUCAUAGAGAGUACAUGAAAGACAUUCGUCAACCAAGACUCUCAAUGAUCUAUCUCUUUUCUUUUCUUGAAUUAAUAUCCAAGAGUUCUUUUCUUUUGAAGCCAUUCUUUAGAGAGAAUUUAUUCCCUCAAGUUAUGACCUUUCUUUUCAAUCUUUCGGGUCACUAGUACCCAACAUUCGCUUUCAUGAGUAGAAGCUUGAAUAACUCUUAGUCUGAGAAAACUUAGCCAAUAGGCAACGGUAAUGAGCAUAAAAAUAACCCUACGUUUGUCUGAUUAAAAUCAUGCACAUUAAACCUUUUAAAACUUUCUGGAAUAUUCUAAAUCAUCGUUGGGCAGAAUUAGAAUAAAACAUUAUCCUACUAUAUUAAUUCCAUAUCACCGUUGGGCAGAAAUGGAAAUAAUGCAUAUAACUUAUAAACAAUGUGAUGAUAGUAUUCUUAUUGAACAACUUUGCUAAGAAAUAACAAUCAUCAUCAUUAACCAUAUGCGUUUCUUUAUCUGUGCUCCGAAAAUUGAUCACUUUGAUACAAAAUUUAUCAGAGAUUUAAGCUUUAAACAUAAGAUGACUCAUACGAAUAUAGUAUUGUUAUCAUCAACGUUGGUCAAAAAACAACAAUACCAUAUUUUAACUUUAAAACAAACUUCAUUCUUUUGUCAUAGCGGAAACUGUUUGAAUCUUAUUUCACCCACAAGGGAAAGACUUUGCUAAUAACAGUUCUUCCAAUUAAAUUUUUCCGUUGGUUCCAAUUUAAUUGGAGGACUAAACCUUUUUACUUUACAGCGGAAAAACAUGAAUAUAAAAAUUCAUGCACCUUUACAGAAAAAUAUUCUGUUAAAAUUAAAAUUCAUGAACUUCAUAAUCUCCUUUAUAAAAUCCAUGAAUUCUUCUUUUUCUGAAAAUCUUUCUUUUAUUUUCAGAACCUUUUAUUUUUCUUUGCAGAAAAAACAUGUUACUAUAACAGAAAAAUAUUCUGUCAUAAUUAAAAAUUCAUGAACUUUAUAAUCCUUUUUAUAAAAUUCAUGAACCUUUCCUUUUGUGAAAAUCUUUCUUUUAUUUUCAGGAUCUUUUUAUUUUUCUUUUCAGAAAAAUCAUCUUUGCUUUCAUAGAAACUUUGAACAUUUUUCUUUUGUAUUUUCUAAACAAUAUUUUGUUGGAAAAUACGUACAGAAAAUAUCAUUUUAAAUCUGUCUAGAACUAGACAAAAUGAAAAUCUCCCUUUUAGAAGGAGAAAAGGGGCCAGAGCCUCUAUGGGCCAGCCUCCCUUCACCUGGGCCCGGCAACUCCCGUCGGCCUGAGGCGUUUUUCUUUUGGGCCGGCCUCGGCCUCGCUCCCGCUGGGGCCCGAGGGGCCUUGCCACCUCCAGCCGGCCUGUUAGGCCCGAGCCGCCCCUAGGGUUUCACCUCAGGGGAUCCUGGCCGCCCAGAUACAUCCAACGGCCCUCCGCGCCCCUCGGAAGAACAAAAAGGGGAGCCAGCCGGGGGGGGGGGGGGACCCUAAUUUCAUUUCCCCCUCACUGCGCCGCUGUCCUCCUCUCUCUAUCUCGAGCGGCGGCUUCAUGACCCAUCGAGGGUUCCUCCUGUUCCCGCAGCCCCUCUCUGGGACACAGCCAGACAGCGUCCGCCGGCGGUGGUGGCCGAGGGGCCCCGCGCCGUGCGUUGUCUGCCCUGCCGAGGAGGAGGCCGACGGGGUACCCUCCGUAUGUUCCUCUAGGCGCCCCCUCGCCUCCUAUGGCUGCGGGCCGUGGUGGUCUAAAAGACCCCAUACCGCGUGCUGCUGAGUGGCCGAGCCAGUUGCGAGGUGGAGGUGGCCGCCGGCCGCGGCGACCAUGGGUCCCGUGCCGUGCGUGCCUUGCUCUCCACCCCCUUCCCGUGGCGCUUCCAUGCCGGGGUCGUGGCCUUCCCCUCGCCGGCUGCGCACACACCUUGCGGUGGGUGCGCCGCCGUCGAGGGGUCGGCUGCGGCCCCUUCGAUUUUCUUUUCUUGUCUCAAGAGGGUGCUAGCAUGUCCGGGGCGGAAAUCGUCUUUGUUGCCAUCCCCCUCGCCGGUGGCGCGUCCGCCUUGCGGUGGGCGCGCCGCCGUCGAGGGAUUUGGUGAUGAAGUCAUAUGCCCCGUGGGAAUCUUUGUUAUUCUUGGUUUGCAUGUUCCCUUCCUCUUGUUUGCCUUUUCCGGAUCCGAUCUGUUUGCUUUCUUUAUUUUCCUUUUGGAUCUAGAUCCACACUUUGCCUCCGAGGAGGGGUGGCUUUUCUUGGCUUUCUUUUGCUGUGUAUUUGCGUGUUCCCCUCCUCCCUUUUUUUUGUUUUCUUUUUCGGAUUCAAUCCGACCUUUUCUUUGCCUCCGAAGAGGUGGUACCUUCGUCCGACGCCUCGGCUUGCCGAUGCGCGUCGAGAUCGAGAGGGUUGGCGCGGCCUUGCGGCGGCGCUUCUUUGCCGGAUGGAAAUCCUGUGACUUUCUUUUUCUUUUGCUUUUCAGCUCGAUCUUUGCCCUCUUCUAGGGUUCAUAUCGGGGAGAGGAAACUUUAUCGCUUUCGUUGUCUUCAACCAAAAACACAUCGAAUACCAACCUGCUCAUGAUACCAUUGAUAGAUCCCGUGGAUUGACAAGGCUAGAUGUGUUCGGUUAGACUAGUGGUACGUUACCUUAUCCCGUACUCGAUGAGCUCCCUCCGGUCGUCCAUGGUGAGGUGGGGACGACGGUAGGGAAGGAGAGGGAGAUCCGAUGGCGGCGGUGGUGGACUUCCCGCCGCUUCAGUGCAUCCCUCUAGAUCGGAUUAGGGUUGGAGAGUGGGGAACCAGUGGCGG